AGGUAGUAUCAUCCCCCAACAGCCAGAGUCAGAAGAAACGAAAAACCCUCUUUUUUCUCCUCACUGAGAGACAGCUCUGCAGGAUCAUCCUGUCUGCUGCCAUUUGAGAUUACAACACCAAUUAGACCGCUGUUUCCUGACAUUCUCCCAUCAAAGCUGUGAAGCAGUUGGUUUUAUUUUCCACAUCAAAGGCUCUUAUUCUUUUGUUUCUCCUUUCAAAUCAACAUCUACCCUGAGGUUGUUUGAGUUUUCUCUCUCAUUUUCCCUUUUCUACUGAGAGUCAAAAUCUUGUCUGAACCCAGCUGUAAUGGAAAUGGCAAUGCAGACCAAAGACAACACGGCAAGUGUUCCCAGCAGCUCUCCAGAGAUAUCAAAUUGUUUAUUGCCUUCCUUCAUCUCUCCGUCUUUCUGCCUUUGUGUAUCAUUGUUUAUUAUUUCUGAUACAAUGUGUGAGAAGUGUGAAAUGCAAGCACCUAGUUGUUUUAUAUGAGGGACACAUUGCUACAAAGUACUACAGACAUGUGAUGGGAGUGAAAGUUUAAAAAUGUAUGAUCUGUGUGCAUUAUGUAUAAUGAUGUUUUAAAAAUAAGAUCUCCUUUGCUCCUUUGAGACGAGUGUCUGUAUGGUCCUGGUUUAUCAGGAGUGAUUGAUCUCAGCUGGAUUCUGCAUUAAAGCACCUGUAUAGAGAAAAUAAUGAGCAGAAAAAGGAAAAUAUACUGAGCUUGACACAAAAUAAGAGUUCAAUCGCAGGGCGGUAGUGAUGAAAAUCUGUAGAGUCCCUGCCACACAUCAAAUUUACUCCAGGAAAGUGUAAACGGCAUUUAAACUAUCAAACCUAUUCCGUUUGCUUUGUUUAAUCAGAAUCAGUGUUAUUUUAAGGUAGGUUUACACAUACAAGGAAUUUGUAAUUUUAUUGGCAUCUAGAUUAAAAUAUGAGGAACCAAAAUCAACAGCAGUAAUCCUGUCAAUGAACUUAAAUAUAGAAAAAAGUCGCAUAAAUGUAAACAAUACUGUCUAAACAUUUACACGUAUGUCUUUUGUGUAUUGAAAGAGCCAUUAUGCUUGACAUUUGUUUUGUUUUACCUUGUUUUCAUUAACACAACUGGCUGGGUCAUGAAUGUAAUCCUUCACAUACUAGACUAUGCAUUAUGCCUGCACUUAAGCAUACCUCUAGAGAGCGCAGGGUGUUCGCAACUACCAGAUGUGCAGGAUGUAAACAACAAACAUGUGGACACUUGAGGAGGUUAUUAUUAUGUCA